UACGGAGGGGGCUAGCGUUGUUCGGAAUUACUGGGCGUAAAGCGCGCGUAGGCGGCUUUGUAAGUUAGAGGUGAAAGCCCGGAGCUCAACUUCGGAAUUGCCUUUAAGACUGCAUCGCUAGAAUUGUGGAGAGGUCAGUGGAAUUCCGAGUGUAGAGGUGAAAUUCGUAGAUAUUCGGAAGAACACCAGUGGCGAAGGCGACUGACUGGACAUGUAUUGACGCUGAGGUGCGAAAGCGUGGGAGCAAACAGG
rnacentral:rRNA from 1 species